rnacentral:hammerhead_ribozyme from 1 species
GCCGAAACGCCCGCGAGGGCGUCUGCCGGAGGCUGAUCGCCCGGCACUGAUGAUGGCAGAU